UUGUCUUGAGAGCUAGAUUUAUACUGGCCAAGGAUGACAUCACGCGGAUUUAGUUUGCGAAUUGAUCUCAAAACCUUCACCUGAAAAAGCAGGUUGACCUUUUCAUUCCGGAUAUCUUCACCAUCGAGACUUAUUGGAGGUUCCAUGGUAAGUAAUGCGAUUGUCUGAAGUAUAUGACUGUGCACUAUGUCCCGUAUGAUUCCAUAUCCAUCAGAAUACCUUACAAAAAAGCAGUAGGAAAUCAGACAGAGUGAACAAACAGAAUAUGGAGGAGGAAAGUCUAGGCACUAUACACAAAUAUAAACAAUCUACCUGUAUAUUGCGUAUGUAUGUUCUG